GGUUUGUAAGGCAGAGGGCUCCUGGGAAGACUGUGUUCCACUCUGCCAUCCAGCUCUCGUGGAGGAUAGCCCCAGGGACAGAGCACGGAGGCAACAGUCAAGCAAAGAGGAAGGUUGGUGUAGAGACAGGAGAAGGCUUAAGUUCCACAGCAAGAAAGGGGACCUCUGAGGGUCUAUUUGAGGGCAUGAAUAUGGAAAAUUCAGCUCCAGCUCCUCCACCCCACUCCCUGAACAGCACUGCAGAACUGUGCUAAGCUCCUGUGGCUUGGAAAGAACAGAUGCAAGAGACAUAAUAAAUGCCUCCAAAUAACUUAGUCCUCAACCUGAAGCCAAAGUGAUUUCGGUGUACCAGGAUUGAAAUACUUCUGUAUUCACAACUGAAUGGAUAAACGGGCACUCCUUGUGGCUCCUCAUUGUAUGUCCCCUAGAGGGUCAGCAAGGCCAAGAAUUGGUUUGUGGAACAAAUAUCCAUUACUCCAAUCGGGGAUGAAAAAGAGUACACGCCAUGGAUUUUGCUCUCGGGAGUGAUUGAUUCAGCGAGUGAAAUAAGACCAACAUGCAUGGAAGGGUUGAUGAUGCUAGAAUCUCCCACACUUUGCCAGCCACAGGGAAGUCAAAUCAGUAUUGACUUUGUUAUUCAAAUCAGCACCAGACCGGUCACUUUUAGAAGUGAUACCAUGGGAGGCAAUUAAACCCAGGAAAAUGCUGAGCACUAGAGUGACCAUGCAAGAAGGGGCCUUAGAGAUAGAUCCUGUACGUCUUCACCUGUUGGUGCCAGGGCCAGAACAGAGGCCUGCAAGGGUAAGAGCAAGCUCAGCACCACAGAACUUGUAGGUAACAGAGCCGGGCUCAAGUGCACGCUUCCUGACUGCAAUUUCAACACUCCCAUUCAAGGUGAGAGUGAAAAAUAUUUUCCCCUAGGCUUUCCCCAGUGAUAUUCCCCUAUGCACCAGCAGAGCAUGAGGGUAUGAGACGAAGAUGCACAUCCUAGCCCUAGCUUUGCUACUGACUAGCCACGUGUGUUUGAGCAACUCACAAAACUUCUCCAGAUUUCAGACUCCUCAUUUGUAAAAUAAAGUCAUUUGAUUUGUCCAUUGCUCUCCAUAGUUCACCAAAGUGCCCCUCGUAGGAGAGUGGAAUGGAUGAUGUUUAGAGUAGAAGCUUGGAGAUGUGGCAAUAAGUGACCUUGUGCAAGUGAGAAAUGCACUCAAUAUAUUGGAAUUUGUCUGUCUUAAUAAUUUGUGUGGCUUCUACAUUUUACUUAGUAAUAUAUCUGUGUUUGCUUUCGGGUGAAAAUACUGUUUGAAAUGUCUUACUAUCCAUGAAACUUGGUUUACCAAAGAGGGCCUGUUUUCCCUGAGGUACAAGGACUAGAAGGUUUUCUGAGGCCACCCCCAGCCCCCAUUCAUUGAUUUCGUGUCUUAAGUUGUUUGUGUUUUUUAUUUUAUCACACCCUCCUAUUUCUGGUUCCCAGAAUGUAAGUAGUUCUCCCUCCACAAUGUUCAACAGUCCUCAAUAAUGCCCGGCUAUGUGAAGAUGGAAAGAUGAGGGAAAAUUAGCACCAUAAGCAGAGUCUGGAAAGGUACACAGACAUUUAACAGAUGGAAACAGGAGGGCUGCCAUUCUAGAAAGAUAUGAGGACUGCUCAUCAGCCUGGCUUCCGCUAGAGGAGAUCUAC
rnacentral:lncRNA from 10 species